GUGGUGGUGGUUGAGAGGUUAAAAUCUUUGCUUUCAAACUAAAAGAUAUCGGGAUCGGUUCUCGAUCAUAAUA